GGGCCCAUAGCUCAGCUGGUUAGAGCAGUUGACUCAUAAUCAAUUGGUCCGGGGUUCGAAUCCCUGUGGGCCCA
rnacentral:tRNA from 1 species